GUGGAUUAGAUACCCUGGUAGUCCACGCCGUAAACGUUGAUUACUAGAUGUGUGCGCGUUAGCGUACGUGUCAAAGCGAAAGCGUUAAGUAAUCCACCUGGGGAGUACGACCGCAAGGUUGAAACUCAAAGAAAUUGACGGGGGCCCGCACAAGCGGAGGAGCAUGUGGUUUAAUUCGAUGGUACGCGAGGAACCUUACCCGGGCUUGAAAGUUAGUGACCGCUCCUGAAAGGGAGCUUUCCGAAAGGACACGAAACUAGGUGCUGCACGGUCGUCGUCAACU
rnacentral:rRNA from 1 species